rnacentral:rRNA from 1 species
GGGGACGGAGAAGGCUAGGUGGGCCUGGCGACGGUUGUCCAGGUUCAAGUGCGUAGGCUUAAGAGUUAGGUAAAUCCGGCUCUUUUUAAGGCUGAGACACGACGUCGAGCAUCUACGGGUGUGAAGUCAUUGAUGCCAUGCUUCCAGGAAAAGCCUCUAAGCUUCAGAUUGUAAGGAAUCGUACCCCAAACCGACACAGGUGGUCGGGUAGAGAAUACCAAGGCGCUUGAGAGAACUCGGGUGAAGGAACUAGGCAAAAUGGUACCGUAACUUCGGGAGAAGGUACGCUCUUGAUGGUGAAGUCCCUCGCGGAUGGAGCUAUUGAGAGUCGCAGAUACCAGGUGGCUGCAACUGUUUAUUAAAAACACAGCACUGUGCAAAAUCGUAAGAUGACGUAUACGGUGUGACGCCUGCCCGGUGCCGGAAGGUUAAUU